UACGUAGGUGGCAAGCGUUGUCCGGAUUUAUUGGGCGUAAAGCGCGCGCAGGCGGUCCUUUAAGUCUGAUGUGAAAUCUUGCGGCUCAACCGCAAGCGGUCAUUGGAAACUGGGGGACUUGAGUACAGAAGAGGAAAGUGGAAUUCCACGUGUAGCGGUGAAAUGCGCAGAUAUCAGGAGGAACACCAAUAGCGAAGGCAGCUCGCUGGGACGGUAUUGACGCUAAGGCGCGAAAGCGUGGGGAGCAAACAGG
rnacentral:rRNA from 1 species